rnacentral:rRNA from 1 species
UACGAAGGGGGCUAGCGUUGCUCGGAAUCACUGGGCGUAAAGGGUGCGUAGGCGGGUUUUUAAGUCAGAGGUGAAAUCCUGGAGCUCAACUCCAGAACUGCCUUUGAUACUGAAGAUCUUGAGUAUGGGAGAGGUGAGUGGAACUGCGAGUGUAGAGGUGAAAUUCGUAGAUAUUCGCAAGAACACCAGUGGCGAAGGCGGCUCACUGGCCCAUUACUGACGCUGAGGCACGAAAGCGUGGGGAGCAAACAGG